AUGAAUGUGUGUGUGCAUGUAUGCAUGCAUGCAUGUGUAUAAAUAUUUGCAC
rnacentral:miRNA from 1 species